AAACUUGAUAUUGCUUGGUUUGUCUUCCAUGGAUAUUGAUAAAAAGGUGAUAUGCAUGCCUACUGGAAAAUGUACUUCUUCUUGCUGGGUCUGAAAUUCAAACUUAUGUUCACUAGGACCUUUCAAUAAUGCUAGGUCAUUAAUCAGAAUUCAAAAUAUGAGACUGCUGAUGGUGCAUCAGUUAGAGAUACCUUUGAUUCACAUAUUCAGGAUUCAGAGUUUCGGCCAUUUUUGGCAUAUAAGUAGGGCACCUAAGUUUCUUUCUCCGGUGACACACUUAUUGGUGAGGUUUGGUUGUGAUCUGGAUGUCAAAUAAUACCAACGAAAAGUGAGAAAGGGAAUCUUCUUUAAAUUGGAUUUGAGAAGGUUUAUGAUCACUCGAGUCAGAGAGGACCGUGAGAAAGUGAUGCAGGUAGCGUUAUAUAUUAUAUCUUACUGUGAAGAAAUUAGUUCCAAAAAGAAGAUACUUUGCCUGGGUUUUAUUUGUCCAGACUGAAGUUUCCAAAGUGCUCUGUACAUGCAAUGAAGCUUUAGCUUACGAACAUAAUAUGGGGAGAGGCUGAAGAUAGUAAUGACCAUAUCGUGCCAUAUCCAGAGGCAAGUGAAGAUUAUUGCAAGAAAAAGGAAUCGAGUGAAGACGCUAGCACCAUUAAAUCUAGUGAGCAGAAGGCACCUGGGGCUAAAGUUGAUACCGAUGGUAGAAAGCUGGAGAGCAUUUCGAAUGUUGACGCAAGUGAAGGAACUUCUUCCUUGGGACUUGACAUGGACCGAUGGCAUAACCUGUCCUCACCUAAUGCUGCCAAAACUGAGCAGGAUUCCUUGGAAACUUCAAUCUCUAACAAUCUAACUGAGAUUACCAAACUCGAUUCAUCAGAAGAUCAUCUUGAUAAGGACACUGAGAUUUUUCAAAAUCCUCAUGAAGGUAAAGAGCAAGGUGAUUUUCAUGAUAAUGGCUGGGCUAGCCUUGGAAGCUUUGAUGAUCUUGAUCGAAUUUUUAGGUAAA